rnacentral:lncRNA from 1 species
GACGCUCUUGAAACCAUCGUAGACUCGCGUAACAGUAGCAGAGGUUGCCGUGCUUAUACUCAGCCUGAAGUCUUCGAUAACUUUCCAAAACUCUGGAUGCGCUGCCACAUAGUCCUGAGGUUCCAUUCCAUGAGCUUCCACAAAAGCAUUGGAGUCGCCCGGCCGCUUGAUGGCAGCAUCUACAUGUUGCCACGAACGCUGAGUGACUUCGGACGUGCAGAAGGAGAGAAUGCCCCCCACGAAGACGUCACUGCUAGAGCCAUGGCUGACCAGCAGCCUGGACAUGGGAGUGAGGCCAUAGCGAGCUCCGUUGAGAGCGAGCACCUUCUUGAAGACGAGAAACCUGAGGAGUCGGAACAGCCUCUCGGCCUGGAUGCUAUCUGCAUCGUGCUUGAUCCGUAGCUCCUGAAUGAUCUCGUCCAGAGUGGCUCCUUGCUCCGACGAGAACUUGGACACGAUGUUGAAGAUGUCGAGCUUGACUGCGGCCUUGAGAGCGAAGGGCGCUGCAAAUCCCAGUGUGAGGCUCCAAAACUGGCUGUACGCUUCCAUUUGCUCGCUCGUCGCCAUUGCGAAUUGCUGCUUGGUUGCUCUGUUUGAUGGAAGAACGACCCCACCCUCGUUUCUUAUCGGUGAUGAAGUGUCGAACAGGGCGAACUUGCCGCGGAGCUGCGGCCGCACCUUCCAAGAACCUCAAACAUUUGUAGAAUAAUAGUCUCUAGAUCUCAGCGUGAGGACCUCUCUCGAAACCAUGAAUCGAAUUCUUACCAUAGUUCCCUGCGACAAUUUUCUCAGCAAUCGUGGAGAAGCGGAAGGAAGAGAUACCUGCCUAACGUAGAAGCUCCAUCGAAUAUCUCGAAAGCGGUACGACCACUCUCAAUCGUGGCGGAGGAAGAGAUACCAGUUUUAAUGUAGCCAUCGAAAUAUCUUCCAUAACGGCACCGAUCGAGUACCUGUCUCUCAAUCGCUAGAAAUUUCACUUUCCUGUGCUGGAGGAGGCCAAAGACGGCAGCAGAUCCAUCCUCUGAUCAGCGCCCGGCGACAGGAUCGCGUUGCCGCUCUCAAGAAUGCGUUAUAAACCCUAGGUUUGAUAGUCACUCUGUUAUUAGGGUUUAUAGCAAAGAUGACUUUCAUGGACAAGCUAAUGCGCGCAGUGGCGGCACUCGAGUACAAGGCGCAGCACCGCGACGAUCUCGACUGUGAGGCCUUCAACAAGCGCCCAGAGCUUACACUCGGCACCAACUGGAGCAUGGACAAAUUUGACAGGUAUUGCGAGCGCUACAAGCUCUUCUCCAAGUGUAUCUUCCGCCACGGCCGGGUCAUCGUGGUGGACGCUGGGUACACCAAUCUGAGGUACGCCAUAGUCAUGUCACAGGUUAGCAUUGCGCUCCAGCCGGCCGUUGGCAUCCCCUGGCCAUUCCAGCCCAAGGGAUCCAACCGAGUGGUGAGAUACUUGUCCCUGGGUGCCAGCCAUCGAUCUGUGAUUCCAGGGCCGCCCCGGAUCUUUGUGAGCGUCGGAGAGUACCAGACCUUGCCGGAGCUUCUCUCGUAUGUGGACUCUUACAUCCAGGAGCCAGGCUCAAAGCUCCAGUACCUCUUGGUGCUGAAGUUCUACCCCGGGUCGGGCAACCGGAUGGUGGCCGUGAUCUACGAGAUCGUCGGCAGUGGUGGUGGCGAGGGUGGUGCCAUGGUUACAAGUGCUAGCGCUGUGUCCUUUGGAGAUGAGGCGCUGUUCCCGGAGACUCUGGCUUUCCUGGCGGAGCGGGAGAUCCCAGUGACUGGUGUGGGACUCGGUGGAGAGAGGUGUGACAGAAUUGGAAUCCCGAGUUACCAGAUUAAACUUGCCACUGCGAAAGUUCUUGAGGGAGGAGACCUUGGGCUUCCAGAGAUCCGGGACAAGGGAGACAACCUGAUAUUGGAUCUCUACAUUAUCCAGGCUGCAUACGGAUGCCGUUGUCUGUGAAACUGGUUCUUCGUCUAGUUUUGGUUUGGCUUGCUAGCUUUCCUUGAAAUGAAAUUGAGAAAGGAAUAGCAGGCCCGGCGCACGAUAGCAGCAUUGGGGUGAGCGCGUGAGUACACGCAACACACCAUGCGAUCCGGGCCAUUGCCCCAGAACUUCAGCGCGAUCACAAAUCGGCAUGAUGGCAACGCGAAAUACUCCUCGCAUCUGCAGAAAACAAGCGCGAUCACAAAUGGCACAACGGCAACACGAAAUCCUCUGCACCUGCGGAAAACGCCCUGAAGCGACUGACUUGUGGCAACUUCCACAAAGCCAGAUGGAGCAUCAACAGUACCAUCCGGCUGCUGCAUGCGGAUCGUGACGUCGGGUUCCCUCCUCACGUUUGGUGCAAGAUACGCGACGAUCAAGAAGACACACUAGCUUCCAUAGCCGGAGCGUGAAGGAAGCGAAUCCCAAUUACAUUCUGCCAUCUGUAAAGUACCGUAAAAGACCAGGUCAAGAAAGGUCAAAACUUCUUCCCGCCACGAUCGCUAGAGCUUGGAGCUUAGGGCUAAGAGAUUGUAGAUUCGCUGCUGCUGCAUUUUUUGUCCAACGCAGUAAGUAAAGAUCUCUGUUAGAAAUGGAGAAAGUGAUCGGUACUUAGUUUCUUCGCCAUUGCUGAGAGAACAUCUGAGAAUUCGAUUCAUGGUCUUCGCCUUUGAAGGAUCAGUGAUGUCACAAUUCCCGUUUCGAGGUUCUUGGAAGGUGCGCCACUUCAUCACAACAGUUCUGGGGUCGUUCUUCCAUCAAACAGAGCAAGCAAGGAGCGAUUCGCAGUGGCGAGGAGCGAGCAAAUGGAAGCGUACAGUCAGUUCUGGAGCCUCACACUGGGAUUUGCAGCGCACAGUGAAGCUCGACAUCGUCAACAGAUAUCCUGUCCAAGUUCUUCUCCGGAAGCCCAAGGUCUCCUCCCCCGAGAACUUUGGCAGUGGCAAGCUUAAUCUGAUAACUCGGGAUGCCAAUUCUGUCACAGCUCUCUCCACCAAGUCCCACACCAGUCACUGGGAUCUCCCGCUCCGCCAAGAAAGCCAGAGUCUCCGGGAACAGCACCUCCUCUCCAAAAGACACAGCGUUAGCACUCGUAGCCACGGCACCACCAUCACCGCCACCACCGCCGACGAUCUCGUAGACCACGGCCACAGAUGUAUGAGCUCGGGACAAACGAGAUAAUGUCGGCUGCGAGAUUGCCGAGAACGAUAUAUAGAUAUCUACUCUUUGAUUUAGACCAGACUACUACUUACUGCUCCGUUCUUCCCUGGAUUCGAUGUGGGACCAAUUUGAUACGCAGAGGAUCGUGGGCUUUAAUGCUGGAGAUCAGACUGUAUCAAGUACGUAUUCCCGGAAAUUGGAUCUUUGGCAAUCAACCUGUCCCUCCCCAAGCUCAAGCCGUGUAUCACAUCGACCUCUACCUUGUUCAACGCGCGUUUCACGAGCAAAUAGGAAAGGCCGAGCCUUUCUUGUUUCGUGCUACUAGGGUUUAGGUGAGUUUUCUAACGUUGAGGAUUUCUACCAAGAGCCAGCGCUCGGCCGGGUCAUCGUGGUCGAAGCUGGGAGAGUUACGCCACGGCCUUAGCAGUGUGCUCCAGCCGGCCUUUGGCAUCUCCAGCCCAAGGGAUCCAACCGAGUGGUGAGAUUGUCCCUGGGUGCCAGCCAUCGAUCAGUGUUUCCAGGGCCGCCCCGGAUCUAACUCUUGUAACCAAAAGGCUUGCUUCACAGAAACAUAUUCCGUUACCAAAACUAGACGACCUCAGGUAAAACUUGAGGUACUCGAGCCCGGAUCCUAAAAAUACGGGCUUUGGAGAAGGUGCUCUGGAGCCUGAUCUGCUACUGCGACUUGGGACUGGCACUGUCCUCGGCCACGAGAGGAACUUGUCCAUCUUCCACGGAAGCCAAUCUUGCUCUCCGUGGUACCUAGUCAGUCAUAAGUAAAUUACUGGUGUUGUAACUUUCGGAGCUGGAAAAGCCUUGACGUGCCGGGACGUGUAGUAUCGCAAGCUCGAUAUCUCUUCGGUAGUGAACCUCGUGGCAAAAUGGCAAAGUUAAUCUCGUUGGCUCGCAGUAAUUGAUUUAAUUCCAGCAUUGCACUGCGGAACACAAAAGGCAAAAGUAAUUUUCUUUAUCAACUGCAAAAGCUUACGCACGUCUUCAAUGUCAAGUUUUAGCUUCAGCCCUCGCAAGUUCUCCAACAAGAAGACUUUAAAGUGGAUGUGUCAACUCCUCGUAUCUGCAAACAGAGAACAGUGAAGAAGCAGCCACAACUUUAAACCAGACCUGCUCAUCAUUAUCUCCAUGUUCCAUCGCUAGGAAGAGGACUACCACUUGUUUGCUCAGGAAAUGCCUUCAACAUCCUGAAGAGACAUGAGAACAGAUAAAGAAAAACACAAAUAGUGGAAAAAGGAACUUCAAGGAACCUGCUCAAAGAUUCUGCAGUUAAUCGAACGUCACCUACUUCUGCUGACGCUUUCGAAAUGUUUCGAGAGGUCGUCCCUGAUAGACAAGAGCUGAAAACGUUAGUGUCUGAUAUUAAUCACGAGCAAAAAUUACCGCUUCCUCAACGUGCUCUUGGUAGAAAUCUUUUAUGGCUUCUGCACCUUGUCGGAUCCAGUUCAAAGUCGUCACUACCAGCCAACCGGGUAUUCUUAUUGGGCCUCUCAUACGAAGGCAACUGCAGUCACUUAAGCUAGUCAGGAAGUACAAGUUCUUACAUGCACUCUUUGAUGUUGCUGAGAUUUGCACGUAAGCACCGAACGACCCAUCUCAAUUUCUUCGUCCAUCCAAUCUCGUUUGGACAUGAUUUCUUUCGGUACGUAAGCGACAUACAGGCGGGCCUUCACGUCGUAGUAAACAUUCUAUACACGAAAAACAAAUUAAACUAUGGAUUGAUUAGCACGACUCUACUUACAGGAGGUAAAGCGUAAUUUCUUUGAGUUGCAUCGUAGACACUUGUCGAAGCAGCCCUGAUCAGAAAUGAAGGAAACAUGAAAAAGAACUUUUCUUGACAGAGUGCAAUACCUGAGUCAGCAGUACUGCAAGCUGCUCCUGAAUGAUUCCAAGCAUCGUUAUGCUCUCGGUAAUUCGACACGACGCAUCAUACACCAGCUUUUGAGUCGCAGAGCUUUCGGAGAUUAAGGCACGAAUCAUGCAGGCCAAGCCUUCCACAAAGGCGUGAGGACCUCUCUCCAGACCAUGAAUCGAAUUCUCAUCAUGUCAGCUCCCUGUGACAAAAUUCCUGGAACAUAAAGAAGAAAAACAAGGAGCAAACCUGAGAUCGAUGCUCAUGGAGGCCAGGAAGAAGGUAGCAGCACUCAUUCUUCCAUCUCGCAAAGUCAAUGCCGACUCAGCAGCGCCUCAGUCACGAAGCCCCAAACCCUAAGGUUUUAACGUCUCAAGAAAGAUGGAACAGAGCUCCAUGGCCAGAUUGCCAUGGCCGGAGAUUGUAGAUGCCAGACCCACGCGGAUUGUGGCAAUUUGGCAACGGCAAAUUGCUUGCGGGCUCUGCCGCAUAUUCUUGGAAUCAAGAGCCAUUUACAUUCUUCGAGUGUUUUGGAGAAGCCAUCUACCAGGUAGAAAUAGAAGCCUAUCUCUCGACUGAUUUUACUUCCAUCGCAAAAUGCCGCUUUCUUACAAUCAAUUACAUUACGACUAUGUUUCGAUUGUCGUCUCGCCAUCUUAGCUCCGGCCAGCCUUGUUUUUGUAUUCCAUUCGCAACAUGGAAAAGAUUUUAUCGCUAGAACAUUAGAUUUGGGUAAGCUUCCAGAUUUUGAUAUUAAGUUCCUAUACACUUUGAGAUCAUUGUUUCAUUGACAACAAUUAUAUGCUGUAUUUGUUGAAUAUGUGCUCAAUACUUCGACAAUGUUAUGAAUGUGAUUUUCAAAGUUUUAAUUUCGAGUACAAGGAUAAUACUCGUCAAUCAAUGUUUAACUGCCUCAGUGAUGGAGAAAGGAUCUGCUUCAAAGAAUCUCACGCUUCCGAAUCCACAUGAUUCCAGCAAAUUUUUCCAUCCAGCUUUCGUUCUCUGGUACCGCUGGCUCCCCGACAAGAACAUCAUAUCAAGCUGCAAGUGUAACUCCUUGCCUUCGUCCAUGACCAUGUCACAAAUGAUGAUUUUCCCAUCUGAUUCGAGGGCCGAGUGACAGUUCUUGACGAUCUUUGCCGCAUCAGCAUCCGCAAACAUGUGUAAGAAACUCUGCGCUCAAACACAUCUGAUGUAAGAUAGAAAAGAAACUAAUGCCCUCACUUUCAAGAAAAUGCCAUCCCCAGGUGGAACGAAGUCCAUAGCGUCUCCGGGAACGUUUUCCACGCCUGAUAGAAUUUUCAGCAAGAUCCAAGAAGAACUACAGAUCAUUACAAACUCGUACCUGGAUAUGCUGGAGCAUUUGAAAUGACCCGAGGAAGAUCGAAGUUCACAGCCUGGAUAUGCGGGUAGAGCCGCACAAUCUGAGCCAGAAACGAGCCCGUGUCACCCCCAACGUCGACAAGCCUCUUGACGCUCUUGAAACCAUCGUAGACUCGCGUAAUAGUAGCAAACGUUGCCGUGCUUACACUCAGCCUGAUAACUUUCCAAAACUCUGGAUGCGCUGCCACAUAGUCCUGAGGUUCCAUUCCAUGAGCUUCCACAAAAGCAUUGGAGUCGCCCGGCCGCUUGAUGGCAGCGUCUACAUGUUGCCACGAGAGCUGAGUGACUUCGGACGUGCAGAAGGAGAGAAUGCC